rnacentral:ncRNA from 1 species
CAAAUGCUGAUUAAAAUGGGAAACGGGUGCAAGUCCCGUACAGUCCCGCUGCUGUGACCGGUACUUCAUACUCUCCUUGUGCACGCAUGCCACUGGCCUACGACUGGGAAGGCGCACGAAGGGAAACACCGGAAGUCAGAAGACCUGCCAAGAGCUAU